GGGGUUAGAGCUCAGUGGUAGAGUGCAUGCUUGGCAUGCACGAGGUCCUGGGUUCAAUCACCAAUGCCUCCG
rnacentral:tRNA from 1 species